GGGAUGGAACUCAGGACCUUGAGCUUCCCAGGAAGGCGUACGAAGAGGACCUCGCGCCUUUGAAUACUAAUUUACCUUCCUUGAUACCACGGACGCCCAUUUGGUGUUGGCCGUAAAUGCCUCAUGGAGUAAUCGAGAGAGCUCGUGAGAAAGCUACCGCGGGGAGCCUCAGCCAGGCAAAUCCUCCUGUUUCACCUUCCAGUCCCAGAGGGUAGCUACCGACCGAGCGCUCGCUGUGUGCCAGGGACAAUUCCAACAGUUCCACUUUUGUUGCUUCGUUGGUUCUCCAUUAAAAUCCGAUCGGUAACUUUCAAUUCUGUGAAUGAACCAGCUUCUACGCGACACAUUGCGGCUGACGCGCUCCAUGAGCGAUCUCGGUGUCCGUCACUCUACCUACACCGUCCGUGCCCGUCCUCAACACCCCAGCAUGUCCCCAACACGUGGCGCCUUGCCAGUCCGACAGAGGAAAGCAGUGGCU